UCCCUGUCAUGGGCUCCUCUGGAAAGUUUCAUCUGUAGAAAGUACAAGCAGCCGACACAGUGCGAUUGGAAUCUGGCUCAAUGUCUAUAGUUUUGGCAGUUUCCACACUACCUCAGAUUUCAACUUGUGUGAGUUUCUGGAGCCUCACUUUACCUGGAAAAUGGAGAUUAUGAUGUCUGCCUCUGGGGAGGGGGGGGCUCUUGGGGACUGCAGUGUACGAAGGAGCUGCUCAAAGUGACCCAUACUGUGGGGCCUCCUGAGCUUCACUGUCCAGUGCCACUCAUUCUUGGACUCGGUCUUGUCAGUCCCACAGAUCUGUGUCCCUGUCCCAAUCCCUGUACAGUUGUCAUGAACCUCACAGUUCUCUUGCCUGUGUGCUCCAACAGGAAGUGAGUAUUCUGGCAAUGCCUACAGCCACACCCCGUACGCCUCCUACAGUGAGGCCUGGCGCUUCCCCAACUCCAGCCUGCUGAGUUCCCCAUAUUAUUACAGCUCUACAACAAGGCCAAGCGCACCGCCCACCUCUGCCACGGCCUUUGACCAUCUGUAGUUGUCAUGGGGACAGUGGGAACAACCAGGCAACAGGAGGACUUGGCCUGAGACGGGCCCCAGAGAGUCACACAAAGGAAUCUUUAUUUAUUACAUGAAAAAUAACCACAAUUCCAGCAUUGCCGCUCACUCCCUGUGUG
rnacentral:lncRNA from 1 species